rnacentral:lncRNA from 1 species
AUGCAGUACAUCAUCUCCCUCAGCUUCUCCUUCUUGAGGCCAGGGUCUGAAGAAACACCAGCAAGUAGCAAGAACUGCCAGACAUGCCCCCGUGGGGAAGGAAAGAGGAAGAAAUCCCCCCCGAGGCUGCAGGGAGCCAGCAGGUGGCUGCAGAUGCCCACUCAGAAGUGGUCAGAAGUCUGUCUCCAGAUGCUUUCACAAACAGCUUUAUGGCACAUGAAGUUAUCCGUGGUUAUCCAUGCCCCACAGAGGCUCAGCCUGCGUAAAAGGAGGCAGACACUUGGAACUAGCAAACCAUCAACCUUGAUACAGUGAGGGGGAUUUCAGGCAGGGAAGCAGCCCGGAGCAUUCUCUGCCAUCUCGCCAG